rnacentral:misc_RNA from 1 species
AAGUCGUAACAAGGUUUCCGUAGGUGAACCUGCGGAAGGAUCAUUAGCAAGAUUGUGCGUCAUGCGGACAGCAUUGACGCGCAAGUAUGCCAUCCUUGUGUUGUGUUGACUUGUCAGUGUAUGUGUGCCUCUAUGGCCUCUUCUGAGACAUGGGCACACACACUACUCUUUCUUUAAACUCUGUCUUUUUUACCUUCUGAACCUCUUGUGUGUGCCUGGAAACAGGUCACCAGAACAACCGAAAACUGCCAGCAAUGGAUCACUCGGUUCUC